AUUGAACGCUGGCGGCAGGCUUAACACAUGCAAGUCGAACGAGUGGCGGAAGGGCGAGUAAUGCUUGGGAAUCUAGCUUAUGGAGGGGGCUAACUACGGGAAACUGUAGCUAAUACCGCGUACCACAGUAUGAGCUCAAGUGGGAUUAGGUAGUUGGUGAGGUAAAGGGUCACCAAGCCGACGAUGACUAGCUGGUCUGCGAGGCAUACCGGCCACACUGGGACUGAGACACGGCCCAGACGCCUACGGGAGGCAGCAGUGGGGAAUAUUGCGCAAUGGGGGAAAGCUGACGCAGCAAUGCCGCGUGAAUGAAGAAGGCCUUCGGAUUGUAAAGUUCUGUCGGUAGAGAGGCGUUAACUACAGAGGAAGCACCGGCUAACUACGUGCCAGCAGCCGCGGUAAUAC
rnacentral:rRNA from 1 species